UAUACCGUGAAACUGCGAAUGGCUCAUUAAAUCAGUUAUCGUUUAUUUGAUAGUACCUUACUACUUGGAUAACCGUGGUAAUUCUAGAGCUAAUACAUGCUAAAAACCCCAACUUCGGAAGGGGUGUAUUUAUUAGAUAAAAAACCAACGCCCUUCGGGGCUUCUUGGUGAUUCAUGAUAACUUUACGGAUCGCAUGGCCUUGCGCCGGCGACGGUUCAUUCAAAUUUCUGCCCUAUCAACUUUCGAUGGUAAGGUAUUGGCUUACCAUGGUUUCAACGGGUAACGGGGAAUUAGGGUUCGAUUCCGGAGAGGGAGCCUGAGAAACGGCUACCACAUCCAAGGAAGGCAGCAGGCGCGCAAAUUACCCAAUCCCGACACGGGGAGGUAGUGACAAUAAAUACUGAUACAGGGCUCUUUUGGGUCUUGUAAUUGGAAUGAGUACAAUUUAAACCUCUUAACGAGGAACAAUUGGAGGGCAAGUCUGGUGCCAGCAGCCGCGGUAAUUCCAGCUCCAAUAGCGUAUAUUAAAGUUGUUGCAGUUAAAAAGCUCGUAGUUGAAACUUGGGUCUGGCUGGCAGGUCCGCCUCACCGCGUGUACUUGUCCGGCCGGGCCUUCCUUCUGGAGAACCUCAUGCCCUUCACUGGGCGUGUUGGGGACCAGGACUUUUACUUUGAAAAAAUUAGAGUGUUCAAAGCAGGCCUUUGCUCGAAUACGUUAGCAUGGAAUAAUAGAAUAGGACGUGCGGUCCUAUUUUGUUGGUUUCUAGGACCGCCGUAAUGAUUAAUAGGGACAGUCGGGGGCAUCAGUAUUCAAUUGUCAGAGGUGAAAUUCUUGGAUUUAUUGAAGACUAACUACUGCGAAAGCAUUUGCCAAGGAUGUUUUCAUUAAUCAGUGAACGAAAGUUAGGGGAUCGAAGACGAUCAGAUACCGUCGUAGUCUUAACCGUAAACUAUGCCGACUAGGGAUCGGGCGAUGUUCUUUUUCUGACUCGCUCGGCACCUUACGAGAAAUCAAAGUUUUUGGGUCUGGGGAG
rnacentral:rRNA from 1 species